AUUGAACGCCGGCGGCAUGCCUAACACAUGCAAGUCGAGCGGAUGAAGGGAGCUUGCUCCUGGAUUCAGCGGCGGACGGGUGAGUAAUGCCUAGGAAUCUGCCUGGUAGUGGGGGAUAACGUCCGGAAACGGGCGCUAAUACCGCAUACGUCCUGAGGGAGAAAGUGGGGGAUCUUCGGACCUCACGCUAUCAGAUGAGCCUAGGUCGGAUUAGCUAGUUGGUGGGGUAAAGGCCUACCAAGGCGACGAUCCGUAACUGGUCUGAGAGGAUGAUCAGUCACACUGGAACUGAGACACGGUCCAGACUCCUACGGGAGGCAGCAGUGGGGAAUAUUGGACAAUGGGCGAAAGCCUGAUCCAGCCAUGCCGCGUGUGUGAAGAAGGUCUUCGGAUUGUAAAGCACUUUAGGUUGGGAGGAAGGGCAGUAAGUUAAUACCUUGCUGUUUUGACGGUACCGACAGAAUAAGCACCGGCUAACUUCGUG
rnacentral:rRNA from 1 species